rnacentral:lncRNA from 1 species
GUGUAUGUACAGCCGCGACCUGACGCGACUCGGCGACCGCCGGCUGCCGACGACGCGACGUGAGCGACCUACGCGACCAGGUCGCGCAUAAUCGCCGAGGUCGCGUCGCCCGAGGUCGCAGGGCGCGAAGUCGCGUUGCGACUUUCCGCGACUCCGUGCCGCGACAGCCAAUCAGGGCUCUGCUGAUGUCAACAAACCCGCGAAGCAAGGAGGAGAAGAAGAAUCACACAAUGGAGGAGCAGCUUAUAAUUGCCGUGAGUCUUCACCCGGUGCUUUACGACGUGGAGUGCAGGUUCUACCUGGACCGCACCUCCGAGGAGGAAGCAUGGGUGAAGGUGGCCCAUGAUGUUGGGCUUUCUGGUAAGUUUGUUUGUUUAUUUAUUUAAGUGAGCAGACUAUUUUCUGAAAACAUAGCAAACUGCCCCUGCUUGCUAGGCUACAUGUUUCUACGUGUGUGUGUGUGUGUGUGUGUGUGUGUGUGUGUGUGUGUGUGUGUGUGUGUGUGUGUGUGUGUGUGUGUGUGUGUGUGUGUGUGUGUGUUUGCAGUGGAUGUGUGCCGCAAGCGCUGGAAGGGGCUGCGGGAUGUCUACAUGAGGGAGAAGGAAGGAGGGAGAAGCGGGUCAGCGGCCUCCCAGCAGAAGAAGUGGCGUUUCUCUGCGGUGAUGUCCUUCCUCGACCCCUUUAUUUCCCCGAGGGAGACUACCAGCAACAUGUCUCGGGAGGACGAGGAAGAUGUCACCGUAGGAAAUGCUGCUUCUUCUGCGGGGAUGCCUGAAGAGCUGGAGGAAGCAGGCCCCUCAGGAGUGGAGCAUGGACUGUUUGACGGUUGGUUGAUGAGUGAAAAAGAUAGCAAAUAAAUUUGAGUCCCUUCAUGGUUUAAACACACCAUUGUAGUUUAAUUUAAGAUGGACAUUUCAAAUCAUGCACAUUUAAUGUGUGAAAAUUUUUAAUUUGAAUUAUAAUGUUGCCUGAUUGCAGAGGUUUGAUUUCAAACAUUUUUGUCACAACUUUAAAGAUAAGCCUGCUCCCUCUCCUGCUCCAGCUCCCUCACCUUCUCCUGCCCCCUCGUCUUCUCCUGUUUCCUCACCUGCUCCAUCGAGUGAUGCCUCGGGCCCCACUGCAGCCAGACCAAAAGGUAUUGAAAAGAAAUAUUAACCAUAUAUUCAAUGAAAUUGCUCAUGGUCAAAUUCACAUAGAAAUUAUAAAACAAAUUGUAACCGAUAAGUUUUUUUUAUGACAGGGAGGAAGAGGAGGACGCCUCCCACCUCCAGAUUGGAGGACAUCGAGGAGCUCCUCUUUCAGGUCCUGCAGAGGCAACUAAAUGCACCUCCACCACCACCACCACCCACAUGUCGCCCAUCAGAGGACGAACUGUUCGCCUUGAGCCUGGUUCCUUCCCUCGCGUGGCUCACACCCCAGGCUAAGGAACAUGUCAAAUUUAAAAUACGCAAAUUAAUUUAUGAGGCGCAAGAUUUCACCUUAAAUUUGGAAGCAGUGGAACCUUAGCUGGGGUGACAGCCUCGGGGGGGAACGAGCCAGGCUCUGCUGUUGCAGCCAAUCCCCCAACCCCCCAACACACACACACAUACACACCUUUGUAAAUAAAUGUUAUUAUAUUUGUAAUAUCUGCUGUUGCAGCC